rnacentral:rRNA from 1 species
GGAGCAUGUGGUUUAAUUCGAAGCAACGCGAAGAACCUUACCAGGUCUUGACAUCCUUUGACCACUCGAGAGAUCGAGCUUUCCCUUCGGGGACAAAGUGACAGGUGGUGCAUGGUUGUCGUCAGCUCGUGUCGUGAGAUGUUGGGUUAAGUCCCGCAACGAGCGCAACCCUUAUUACUAGUUGCCAGCAUUCAGUUGGGCACUCUAGUGAGACUGCCGGUGACAAACCGGAGGAAGGUGGGGAUGACGUCAAAUCAUCAUGCCCCUUAUGACCUGGGCUACACACGUGCUACAAUGGAUGGUACAACGAGUCGCGAAGUCGUGAGGCCAAGCUAAUCUCUUAAAGCCAUUCUCAGUUCGGAUUGUAGGCUGCAACUCGCCUACAGAAGCNNNNCGC